GGCGAGACGAGGAGGACGGCCAGGAGGGCGAUGGAGACGAGCAGGAUCUGCAAGUUAUUUCGGCGCCGGUGCAACACCAAGAGAGAAUGCUUUUCAGUGAAACUGUUCACGUUCAAGGAUUUGAUCAAGUGAGAGGGUAACACCACACGGGGGGAGGAGCCCCGAGCCUUGCCAAGCCGCCGCCGCCGCUGAAAUACACCGCCGAGUCACCAGCCGCGCCGCGCCGGGGGCCGGGAGCGGGGCCGGGGGCGGGAGCGGGACACCGCGCCGCGCCGAAUCAGCUGGAGCAUCACCCAGCCGGUCCUCCCGAUUUGGUACGUGUGCUCCUGCCGGAGACAAAGCAGCCGUCAUCCGCUGCCUCUCCUGGUGUAUAUUUACAUACACUCGUGUUUACAGCA